UUACAAGUUGUGCAAUUGGAAUGACUACAAUUUAAAGAGUUUAAGGAGGAUCAAUUGGAGGGCAAGUCUGGUGCCAGCAGCCGCGGUAAUUCCAGCUCCAAUAGGAUAUAUCAAAGUUGUUGCAGUUAAAAAGCUCGUAGUUGAAGUUUUGGAGAGUAGUCUUUGUCUUUUCCGGCUUGGGGAGCAAUCCUCUUCGGGAAGGGCACUCUCUCCACAUUGUGGACCAUCCCUAUUUGUUUUGGCGAUUUUUUUUCGCGAAAGCAGAAAGGGCCACUCCGUCACUGAGAGCAAAUUGGAGUGCUCAAAGCAGGCUUUACAGCUUUGAACAUAUUAGCUUGGAAUGACAAGAUACGACUCUGGUCGGUUUAUUUUGUUGGUUAUUUAGACUAGAGUAAUGAUUAACAGGAACAGUAGCGGGGGUACUCGUAUUGAAAGGUCAGAGGUGAAAUUCUUGGAUUCUUUCAAGACGAACGACUGCGAAAGCAUUUACCAAGGAUGUUUUCAUUAAUCAAGAACGAAAGCUUGGGGAUCGAAGAUGAUUAGAUACCAUCUUAGUCCAACGCCAUAAACGAUGCCGACUCGGGAUUGGUAGGUGUUCUUUUUAAAACAUGAACCCUAUCAGCACCGUAUGAGAAAUCAAAGUCUUUGGGUUCCGGGGGGAGUAUAGUCGCAAGGAAGAAACUUAAAGGAAUUGACGGAAGGGCACACCAGAGGUGGAGCCUGCGGUUUAAUUUGACCCAACACGGGGAAACUUACCAGGUCCAGACAUGAUGAGGAUUGACAGUUUGAAAGCACUUUCUUGAUUUCAUGGGUGGUGGUGCAUGGCCGUUCUUAGUUGGUGGAGUGAUUUGUCUGGUUGAUUCCGAUAACGAACGAGACGGGGGGAGUUUACUAGUUUUGCAUAAUCUAAUUCGCGUUAGAUGGAACUUCUUUACUCGACAACUCGGUUUUACCGAGAGGAAGCGCCCCGCAAUAACAGGUCUGUGAUGCCCUUAGAUGUUCUGGGCUACACGCGCGCUGCAAUGACGAGUUCAACGAGUUUGUUUUAUUCCUUGUCCGGAAGGAUGUGGGUAAUCUUUUCAAUGCUCGUCGUGAUGGGGCUAGAUUUUUGCAAUUAUUAAUCUUCAACGAGGAAUCUCUAGUAUGUGCAGUUCAUCAGACUGCGCAGAAUGCGUCCCUGCCCUUUGUACACACCGCCCGUCGCACCUACCGAUUGGACGAUCCGGCAAGAUGUUUGGAGUGUUGUGUUUGUGAUGUAAAAGUCGUGAACAUGACGCAAAGCUCUU
rnacentral:rRNA from 1 species